rnacentral:rRNA from 1 species
AGUCGAGCGGAGUUGGAGAGCUUGCUCUUCAACUUUAGCGGCGGACGGGUGAGUAACACGUGGGCAACCUGCCCUGCAGAUCGGGAUAACUCCGGGAAACCGGUGCUAAUACCGAAUAGUUUUCGCCACCUCCUGGUGGCGUACGGAAAGACGGUUUCGGCUGUCACUGCAGGAUGGGCCCGCGGCGCAUUAGCUAGUUGGUGGGGUAACGGCCCACCAAGGCGACGAUGCGUAGCCGACCUGAGAGGGUGAUCGGCCACACUGGGACUGAGACACGGCCCAGACUCCUACGGGAGGCAGCAGUAGGGAAUCUUCCGCAAUGGACGAAAGUCUGACGGAGCAACGCCGCGUGAGUGACGAAGGUUUUCGGAUCGUAAAACUCUGUUGUGAGGGAAGAACAAGUACCAACUAACUACUGGUACCUUGACGGUACCUCACCAGAAAGCCACGGCUAACUACGUGCCAGCAGCCGCGGUAAUACGUAGGUGGCAAGCGUUGUCCGGAAUUAUUGGGCGUAGAGCGCGCGCAGGCGGUCCCUUAAGUCUGAUGUGAAAGCCCACGGCUCAACCGUGGAGGGUCAUUGGAAACUGGGGGACUUGAGUGCAGAAGAGGAAAGUGGAAUUCCACGUGUAGCGGUGAAAUGCGUAGAGAUGUGGAGGAACACCAGUGGCGAAAGCGACUUUCUGGUCUGUAACUGACGCUGAGGCGCGAGAGCGUGGGGAGCAAACACGAUUAGAUACCCUGGUAGUCCACGCCGUAAACGAUGAGUGCUAAGUGUUAAGGGGGUUUCCGGCCCCUUAGUGCUGCAGCUAACGCAU